ACCGAAAAGGCUGGAAAAGCCUUUGUCUUCAGGGUGGGGGCGCUCUGUCUAUUUAUAUCAACAGUCUAAGGCCGGGUUUAAUCACUUUAAAUACAAUGUUCUCUGUUUGGUAUUACUGAGACGUCGACUUCGCCUCAAAUCCUCGUAAAUACGUUAUUGAUAUAGUUUGAUUGGUCGAGGGCAUGACGCGGCGCUGCUUAUUGGUUUGAAUUUACACCAAUCGAAGGCAGAAGAGGGCGGGCUUAACGUUUGGAAAGGAGCGGGAUUUAAACAUGGCGUCUGUACGCUGUCAAAGGAAAACAAAACAAACCAAAUGUCGAAACUUUAGUACAAUAAAAACAAAAUUUACAAGAUUCAGUUUGUUGGACUACUAACCUACAGAUAAAGAAAAACAUCUGCACCAGAGUCUGAGCGCCGAACCAGAACCUCGGAUAUCACAGGCCCAGUUCUUCAACUACGAACAUACUCGGCCGCUGCCUCUGAGACGGAGUCCUGCGUUCCGAGUUCUGACGUGUCCGGCGUUGGUUUCCACUCCAUCACGCAGCUAAGUAAACUGUGUGGAACGGACUGAGAACGUCAGAGGAAUAACAGACUAACGACCACAGAAGAAGAAUCAACUCUAGUCAAUGACGGUCCGAACCGUUGGAGGCCUGUAGACUGUAGCACAGACCCAGGGCUACGUGGGCUCUGGGCAGGAACUCCGCAGCGUCUUCACCCAUGGACACCACACUCUGGGCCAAAGACUCCGCCUCUUCAUACUGGACACACAUGAAGUCGCUGGGCUUCACCUCAGACAGCAUGGCAUACUGCCCCCUCCUGGCCAGGCCGAUGGCGAGCAGAUCAUAGACGGACGUGGCAUCCUGCAGACUGGCCUGGCGAGCUUCAGCCUGGUCAGGAAGUCGACUGAUGACCGCUUCACCGCUGGCCUGCGGGAAACGCAGACAGGAAACCCUGACCCCUGGUGGUGUGGGCUGAGGAUGAGUCAUGUGGCAGUGGCUAAGUUUGGUUCCAGGCCCUGGAUCCCUGCAGAGUGGGAACUCCACAGACCACGGGGCAGAGGUAAAAAUAAGUCGUCUGUGUUUGCUUUUUUUCACCACCAGGAGAAAGAUUUUCUUUCUUCUCUCCACGUUAGGACUUUGAUCUACGAUAUGUGGUUUCUGUGUUGUUGUCGUCGAGGCCUGAAUACAAACGGUGAAUACGAUACAGCAACAAACCUUCACAAAACUUUUUGUAGAAGUUUGUUUUGUUUUUU